UGGCGAACGGGUGAGUAACGCGUGAGGAACCUGCCUCAAANAGGGGGACAACAGUUGGAAACGACUGCUAAUACCGCAUAAGCCCACGGCUCGGCAUCGAGCAGAGGGAAAAGGAGUGAUCCGCUUUGAGAUGGCCUCGCGUCCGAUUAGCUGGUUGGUGAGGUAACGGCCCACCAAGGCGACGAUCGGUAGCCGGACUGAGAGGUUGAACGGCCACAUUGGGACUGAGACACGGCCCAGACUCCUACGGGAGGCAGCAUG
rnacentral:rRNA from 1 species